AUUCCAGCUCCAAUAGCGUAUAUUAAAGUUGUUGCGGUUAAAAAGCUCGUAGUUGGAUUUCUGCCGAGGAUGACCGGUCUGCCGAUGGGUAUGCACUGGCCGGCGCGACCUUCCACCCGGAGACUGCGCCUACUCUUAACUGAGCGGGCGCGGGAGACGGGUCUUUUACUUUGAAAAAAUCAGAGUGUUUCAAGCAGGCAGUCGCUCUUGCAUGGAUUAGCAUGGGAUAAUGAAAUAGGACUCUGGUGCUAUUUUGUUGGUUUCGAACACCGGAGUAAUGAUUAACAGGGACAGUCAGGGGCACUCGUAUUCCGCCGAGAGAGGUGAAAUUCUCAGACCAGCGGAAGACGAACCACUGCGAAAGCAUUUGCCAGGGAUGUUUUCAUUG
rnacentral:rRNA from 1 species